GUAGGUGGCAAGCGUUGUCCGGAAUUAUUGGGCGUAAAGCGCGCGCAGGCGGUUCUUUAAGUCUGAUGUGAAAGCCCACGGGCUCAACCGUGGAGGGUCAUUGGAAACUGGAGAACUUGAGUACAGAAGAGGAAAGUGGAAUUCCACGUGUAGCGGUGAAAUGCGUAGAGAUGUGGAGGAACACCAGUGGCGAAGGCGGCUUUCUGGUCUGUAACUGACGCUGAGGCGCGAAAGCGUGGGGAGCAAACAGGAUUAGAUACCCUGGUAGUCCACGCCGUAAACGAUGAGUGCUAAGUGUUAGGGGGUUUCCGCCCCUUAGUGCUGCAGCUAACGCAUUAAGCACUCCGCCUGGGGAGUACGGCCGCAAAGGCUG
rnacentral:rRNA from 1 species